AGGAUUUUUUUAAGAUUUUUUUAGGAUUUGACUAAAGUUUGGUUAAGGUUUGUUUAGGAUUUGAUUGGAAUUUGGUUAAGAUUUGUUAGGUUUGACUAGGAUUUAUUUAGGAUUUUAUUAAGGUUUGUUUAUGUUUUGUUUAGGAUUUAAUUAGAUUUGGUUAGGAUUUGACUAGGAUUUGGUUUAGGUUUAUUUAAGAUUUGAUUAAAGUUUGAUUAAGAUUUUUUUAGGAUUUGAUUAGGCUUUGGUUAGGAAUUAUCUAAGGUUUGACUAGGAUUUAUUUAGAAUUUGAUUAGGAUUUGGUUAGGAUUUGUUUAGGAUUUAUUUAGGAUUUUUUUAGGAUUUGGUUAGAAUUUUUUUAGAAUUUAUUUAGGAUUUGUUAAGAAUUUGAUUAGGAUUUUAUUAGAAUUUGUUUAAAAUUUGGUUAGAAUUUAGUUAGGAUUUGUUAAGGAUUUGGUUAGGAUUUAGUUAGAGUUUGUUUAGGAUUUGACUAGGAUUUACUUAGGAUUUGGUUAGGAUUUGAAUAGGAUUUGACUAGAAUUUGAUUCGGGUUUUGAUUAAGAUUUAAUUAAGAUUAGAUUUUGAUUAAGGUUUAAUUAAUAUAUUAUUAAGGUUUUUAUUUUAGUAUAUUUUUG
rnacentral:lncRNA from 1 species